AUUGGGGGCGUGACAAACGUGGUGGGAGAAGACUGCCUCGUGGCGGCUGGGGAACGGAAUGGGAACGGCUCUUUCGGGAUCUUUCCCCGGGCGUCGAACAGCCAACUCAGAACUGGUAUGGACAAGGGGAAUCCGAGUGUUUAAUUAAAACAAAGCAUUGCGUUGGUCCCUGCGGAUGCUACCGCAAUGUGAUUUCUGCCCUGUGCUCUGAAUGUCAAAGUGAAGAAAUUCAACCAAGCGCGUGUAAACGGCGUGAGUAACUAUGACUCUCUUAAGGUAGCCAAAUGCCUCGUCAUCUAAUUAGUGACGCGCAUGAAUGGAUUAACGAGAUUCCCACUG
rfam:Brassica napus, WGS project CCCW01000000 data, contig: 18846